rnacentral:rRNA from 1 species
UACGGGGGGGGUAAGCGUUGUUCGGAAUUACUGGGCGUAAAGGGCUCGUAGGUGGCCAACUAAGUCGGACGUGAAAUCCCUCGGCUUAACCGGGGAACUGCGUCCGAUACUGGUUGGCUUGAGUUUGGGAGAGGGAUGCGGAAUUCCAGGUGUAGCGGUGAAAUGCGUAGAUAUCUGGAGGAACACCGGUGGCGAAGGCGGCAUCCUGGACCAAUACUGACGCUGAGGAGCGAAAGCCAGGGGAGCAAAGCGGG